rnacentral:rRNA from 1 species
UGGCUCAGGAUGAACGCUGGCGGCGUGCCUAAUACAUGCAAGUCGAGCGAACGGAUAAGGAGCUUGCUCCUUUGAAGUUAGCGGCGGACGGGUGAGUAACACGUGGGUAACCUACCUAUAAGACUGGAAUAACUUCGGGAAACCGGAGCUAAUGCCGGAUAACAUAUAGAACCGCAUGGUUCUAUAGUGAAAGAUGGUUUUGCUAUCACUUAUAGAUGGACCCGCGCCGUAUUAGCUAGUUGGUAAGGUAAUGGCUUACCAAGGCGACGAUACGUAGCCGACCUGAGAGGGUGAUCGGCCACACUGGAACUGAGACACGGUCCAGACUCCUACGGGAGGCAGCAGUAGGGAAUCUUCCGCAAU